rnacentral:rRNA from 1 species
GGGAGUGAAAUAGAACCUGAAACCCUGCACUUACAAGCUGUGGAAGCACAUUUCUCGUGUGACUGCGUACUUUUUGUAGAACGGGCCAACGAGUUACGUUAAGUAGCCAGGUUAAGCACUUAAGGUGUGGAGCCGUAGCGAAAGCGAGUUUUAACUGAGCGUUCAGUUACUUGACGCAGACCCGAAACCGGGCGACCUACCCAUGAGCAGGAUGAAGCGAAAGUAAAAUUUCGUG